rnacentral:rRNA from 1 species
GGCCCCGCACAAGCGGUGGAGCAUGUGGUUUAAUUCGACGCAACGCGAAGAACCUUACCUGGUCUUGACAUCCUGCGAACUUUCUAGAGAUAGAUUGGUGCCUUCGGGAACGCAGUGACAGGUGCUGCAUGGCUGUCGUCAGCUCGUGUCGUGAGAUGUUGGGUUAAGUCCCGUAACGAGCGCAACCCUUGUCCUUAUUUGCCAUCAUUUAGUUGGGCACUCUAGGGAGACUGCCGGUGACAAACCGGAGGAAGUGGGGACGACGUCAAGUCAUCAUGGCCCUUACGACCAGGGCUACACACGUGCUACAAUGGGGCGUACAAAGGGUUGCAAUCCCGCGAGGGGGAGCC